GUGAGUUUUUGGCGAUCUCCGUGAACAAAAAGAAGACAAAAGGAGGGAUGAUCAUGGAAAGAGAGAGAAGGGGGCAAAGUGGUUGGAUUCCCUGUCGAUGAAUUUGGUUGGGUCACCCGCCAAUUUAUGACUGUUGUAAUUAGGGAAAAGUGAUGAUCGAGAGUGGCUCGAGUUUUACUGGCGUAGAGGAGCCUUUAGGAGGGUUGUUGUUGUGGAAGAAUAUGAUUUUCGAGUAUAGAUAGAGAGAGGCCAUGACAUAUGGAAAUGGUGGUGGGUGUGGUGGUCUGAUCAUUUUCUGCGGUGCUGUGGAUGUGCGAUCGUUGGUGGGUGAUGGUGUUGGCUGGAUCGAUGGUGAAGAUAAAAGGAGAGGGGAUGCUGUCGUUUUUCUUUCUUCUAUGUUUUAUUUUUAUUUUUAAUUGCACACAUUUUCCUCUCUCGUGUCAAUUGUUUUUUUAAUUUUCCUUCUGAAUGUUUUUUUUUUUCCCAACUUUUUUUCUCCUUUUCUCUCUCUCAUUUUUAUUCAAUUUUUCCACUCCAUUUUUUUCUUUUUUUCCCUCAAAUAUUUGUUAUCACUUUCUUUAUUUCCACCAUUUUUUUUAAAUCUCUUCCUUUUUUUUUGUUACGGAACCUUUUUAUUUAUGUACCCUUCUCAUUUUCUCCCAUCUUCUGCUCUUUUCUCUAUUUUGUUUUUAUUUUUUUUUUCAACCUUAUCCCUUAGCUGUCCGGGAAAGAGUUUGCAAUGUUCACAUUAGUCCCAUGUCUCAUCAAUUAUACUAUGCUCGCCAAACCUUGAUUUUCUUUUUCUGAUUUUUUAGAAAAAAAAUUUAUUUUGAAAAUUCAUCAAUAUUCAUUUUUUGUAGGAUUAUCAACUUUUUCAUCCCUCCUCUCCAAAAAAAUUCUUACAAUUUGCUUCUAUACUGGCUGCUUCAAUCUUAACACGUCAUUGGUUAGGGUUUGUUCGGAAACGCGGUUGAAACCGUCCUCUUUCAAAUUUUAAUUUUUUUUUUUUAGAUUGUUUUGAUGUGUUGAUUUUAAAAAUAAAAAAUAUCAUUUUGAUGUAUUUCUAAGCAAAAAGUACUUUAAACUACAACAGCUAUUAUAAUUUCAAACAAUUCUCAUUGAUUACGAAAAUGGCCUCGCUCUACUGUGUACAGGCUUUUCCUACCAAAGCAUACUGAUUAAGACUGUUUAUUUGUUUAUUUCUGUCUUCAGAAUAAGAAUGCAUUUUGUCUUUGGAUUCCAAACAA